rnacentral:rRNA from 1 species
UACGUAGGGUCCGAGCGUUGUCCGGAAUUACUGGGCGUAAAGAGCUCGUAGGUGGUUUGUCGCGUUGUUCGUGAAAACUCACAGCUCAACUGUGGGCGUGCGGGCGAUACGGGCAGACUUGAGUACUGCAGGGGAGACUGGAAUUCCUGGUGUAGCGGUGGAAUGCGCAGAUAUCGGGAGGAACACCAGUGGCGAAGGCGACUACCUGGCCUGUUCUUGACGCUGAGGCGCGAAAGCUAGGGGAGCAAACGGG